rnacentral:lncRNA from 1 species
UUAUGUACUUCCAAUAAUAUGUAGGUAUAUAUUUCUUUUGUUUUUCAAAUUACAAUAAAAAAUGUUGGAUUGGUAUGAAGAAGUUGAAGAAUUUUUAGAGUUUAUUUCUUAUAUUGUAGAAGAAAAUCGCCCGGAAAGUAUACGAAAGCCAUGUGAUAAAAUUAUAUCAAAUCCAAUGGAAUUUUACAAUAUUGAAUUUCAUCAGUUGCAAUAACUUAAACAACAAAGAUUUUAUGCUACUUUAUAGGAAUAUAACCAGUUUUUAUGAAGUUGUCCAUUUCAAAUUACAGCUCUUUCAUGUUCUAGAAGCGAGAUUAUGAAUGUUGUUGGUUGUUGGUGAACAACAAGGUCAACAGGGUCAAGUUAUGUUAGCUUAAUAUUUGAUCUAAGUGCAUUAAGAGGUAUCAUGAGAAAGAGUGAAAUUCCAGGAUUAUUAAUUGACAAUAGUAGAUAUGCAUGCAAAUACUAUCUAUUUACUUCAGUAUUACAGCCAGGUAUUUAUUGAUAAUUGGCCUAAAUAAAUAGUAGGUUAUUUGAUAGAUAAAUAUACUAAAAUCACAAUAAAGAUGCUUCUUCUUUUUGUAGUGCCUAUCUGUUUCGGAUGUUGACGACCAUCAUGACAAUCUAUACUUUGCACACUGCUGCUCUAAAAAGAUUUGUGGUUGUUGUGUUGAAGCACGUACGUAGAUUUUUCAGCCAGGAAAUCCUUUGCCUUCCUGGUCCCCGUUUUCCUUCUACUUAUCCUUGAAAGAUUAGUUGCAGCAGUCAAUAUAUUUUACUUUUCCUCAUGAUGUGACCGAGGUAUUCGAUUUUGGCUGUUUUUAUUGUGAUUAUUAGCUCUUUUUCUUUUUGCAUUCUCAGCAAAACACUCUGAUUAGUAAUGUGGUUAUUAUAAGAUAUCUUCAGGAUUCGAUGAUAAAGCCACAUUUCAAAAGCCUCAAUAUACUUGCAGGUGCCAUCUGUGAGAGUCCACAACUCAAGUCCAUACAACAGUACACUAAAGAUAUAACAUCAUAGUAACCUGAUUUUUAUGGGUAUCGACAAAUCAUGACAUUUGAAUAACUUAGCCAUUGCUUGAAAUGUAGAUCUUGCUUUCUCUAUCCUACAUUUGAUUUCUAUGGAAUGAUCCCAAUCUUCAUUGACGUUCGUACCAAGGUAGGUGUAUGUAUUUACUCUUUCUAUUUGUUGACCGUUCACACUGAUUCGUCUAAAUUGCUGUUCCUUCUUAGAGAUCAUCAUACAUUCUGUUUUCUUAGUGUUUAGUGAAAGUCUGCAUCACUGAUUGACUUCUGCGAUUCUGUUCAAUAAAUAUGCACCAGAAAUAAACAAACCAAGACACUUAAAUGUUACGAGGAGUACUCCCUAAUCAUGAUUUAUACAAAAAAUAUAUAAACCUUGUAAAUCAGGAUUUGGGAUUUACAAUGUACUUAUAUAAAUUGUAAAUUAUUAUUUAGGAGUGCACCUCGUAACAUUCAAUGUUUCUUGGUUUAUUUAUUUCUAAUGCAUCUUUAUUGUGAUUGUAGUAAGUAUAAUAUAUAGGUAUAUAUGUAUAUCUUUUUAGGUAAUGAUCAAGAAAAUAGAUACAAUAGUGCACAUGUAAGAACAAGAAAUGUUGCCAAAAAGCUAUUUGGAACCUGGAAAAAACAGUUUCCAUGUCUUCAAAAGGUCUACAAACCGAAUUAAAUACAUACCUUGCAAUAUGUGCUACAACAGUACCUUAUAAGUUAUAAUCUGGGUGCAAGAGAAAAUCAUGAUGGUGAUGAUGAUUUUGUAGAAAAUCUUGAUUUGUCAGUAAAUGGAAAUGUUAAUGAUGUGGAACAAUGUUUAAAUUUUAGGAGGCAUUUUUAUCGACAAUAUUUUGCAUGAGAAUGAGAAUACAUUAUUGAAUACUUGUAAUAUAUUAAAUGUUUUUUUUUAAUAUUUAAUGGGUCGUCUUUCUUUGGGAUUUUUUGCCUAUUAUUUCUCAAAUAUCAUGAUCAUUGGCUUGACAACUCUUUUUGUUUGAGUUUUGGUCCCUUCAGGAAUACUUACUUCUCCAUUCUAAUCUAUUUGAAGAUUUUGAUUUUUUGUUCUUCCAAUUUUUUAUUUUUAAAAUUUCAAUGUCUUAUCCUAUUUGUUCCUUGCCUAUAUGUAAUCUUUGGUCUUCCUCCUGUUAAUGUCCAGCUGAUAUUUCUUUGUUUAUUUUGGAAAAUAUUUCAUGUUCUUCCAUCUUUCCUCUUAUUAUGUGCUCCUAUUUUGAUGAAUGUUAGUAUAUAGAUUCUGGUAUGUCCUGUAUAGUUCAAACUUAUAUCUUCUUCUCAAUUUCCCUUUUUUUUUUCUUCUUUGUAUAUGUGUCAAGAUUCUUCUGCCUAAGUAACCAAUUGGUCGUCUUCACUUUAAGUAAGUAACCAGAUUUCAGAUUCAUAUGUAAAUACUGGUUGUAUUAAGGUUUUGUGCAAUUGACAUUUAGUUUUUCUUGUAAUAUCUUAUCUUGGUUGUUUGAUCGAGCCCUGGUAACUUUAAUUGGCUAUGAACUGUUUUUAUUGCUAUGUUAGAUGCUAUUUAGCCUGAUUUCAGUGCUUUGUUAUUGUUUAUUUUAUCUACUUGUCUACUGCUAGUCUAUUAUUGUACUUUCACUAUAUAUGUUUUGAAUUUAUAUAGUAAUCUGUCUUUCUCUUCUAUCUAUAUUCCACUAGAAUUUGUUUAUUUAUUCUGAGAAUACAUUAUUGCAUCCUUGUAUAAUGUGAGAUAUAUGUAGUUUCUUUUUUAGUUUACUUCUCAACAUGUAUUUUUUAUAUUUGAUGUUAAAAUAAAUGAGUACGAGUUUUUCUCCUUUUAAAUAA